rnacentral:lncRNA from 1 species
CUCAAUGUACAAAAUCGUCACCGCAACAGCAACCAGCCACCAACAAAUCGGAGGCGGCGAUGGUGCUAAUUGUAUUGCGGUGGAAGAUGGGCCUGAGCCCGGCACGCUGUUCUUCUCUUUUUGCAUCGAUCUUCCUCUCUCCAUAUUGCACCGUCACCACCCUAGCCUUCGUAGUCAGUCAUCACCGAAGAUCCGCGUGCUGCUGCUGACUCGGAGCGCCGUGAUUGCCACCGUUGCGAGAUCCGCUAGCCCAUGCCCCGCGCCCCGGCAUUGAAUCAGCCUCCAGGCGAGCCACACUUGCCAGCCCUGGCGUCCUCUUCGAACAUCAAAACCGUGAGAGGUAGGGACGCCCCUCCUCCCUUUCUAUCCUUAGAUCUGAAUGAGUCUCUGAUUUAUGUGUUGUAGAGAGCAUUUUCUUACUAGGAAGCUCUUCGUCUCCAGCAGCCUCCUCAAAACCUCAUUGUGGCAGCAAGUCAGGUUAGCCUCUUUAUCUCUCAUCUUCGUUUAUAACAAAAACAACUACAAUCAUGUUCCAUACCAUUACUAUGGCCAACUGCAAUCCUGCAUAUCUUCAUAUCUCUCCCAUGUUACUUUAGUAAAGAUUUUAUUGGUAUUUGUAUGGCUUUUCUAUGGUUAUUUUGUAGAAUCAUGAUCAGAGCAUAUUCAAGUUCAUUUUCAGGUAUGUUGCUCCCUGGUAGUAUUAUUCCAUCGUUAAUGGCAAGGGAUUGGUCGGGACCCGAGUGAUACAAUGGUGGUGAUUGACAUCGAUGUUAUUCCACCUACUGCCGGGUUUUAUUAUUUUCACAGAUAAUCAUCUACAUAAAAAAUGAAAAGGAAUAUGCAGUGACUCUUAUGAACAUACUUGCAUUCUCUCUGUAAUUCAAGAUAACUAUAUGGUUCCUACAGCCCCAUACCACAUGCAGGCCAUCUGUUUCAACCAAAUAUUUGUUAGCAAGCAAAAGGAUCUCAAAUUAAUACAAAAGGAUCUCAAAUUAGCUUUAAGUCUUUUUGUUUCUUGCUCAAAUUAUAUUAUAUAGAAUUAUAAUGAUAAAAAUCUG